rnacentral:rRNA from 1 species
UACGUAGGGGGCAAGCGUUGUCCGGAUUUACUGGGUGUAAAGGGUGCUCAGGUGGCUUGGAAAGUCAGUGGUGAAAUCUGAGAGCUUAACUCUCAAACUGCCAUUGAUACUUCUUAGCUUGAGUACGGAAGAGGCUGAUGGAAUUUCAGGUGUAGCAGUGAAAUGCGUAGAUAUCUGAAAGAACACCAGUGGCGAAGGCGGUCAGCUGGUCCGGUACUGACGCUGAGGUGCGAAAGCGUGGGGAGCAAACAGG